GCGAUAAGCGCCGGUAAGGUGAUAUGAACCGUUAUAACCGGCGAUACCCGAAUGGGGAAACCCAGUGUGACUCGUCACACUAUCAUUAACUGAAUCCAUAGGUUAAUGAGGCGAACCGGGGGAACUGAAACAUCUAAGUACCCCGAGGAAAAGAAAUCAACCGAGAUUCCCCCAGUAGCGGCGAGCGAACGGGGAGGAGCCCAGAGCCUGAAUCAGCAUGUGUGUUAGUGGAAGCGUCUGGAAAGGCGCGCGAUACAGGGUGACAGCCCCGUACACAAAAGCGCAUGUGCUGUGAGCUCGAUGAGUAGGGCGGGACACGUGGUAUCCUGUCUGAAUAUGGGGGGACCAUCCUCCAAGGCUAAAUACUCCUGACUGACCGAUAGUGAACCAGUACCGUGAGGGAAAGGCGAAAAGAACCCCGGCGAGGGGAGUGAAAAAGAACCUGAAACCGUGU
rnacentral:rRNA from 1 species